UUUUUUUGCUGUAAAUCCAAAUUUAAAGGUGCUAAAUUAGAAACCGCGGCGCAAACGGCAACGCGGACAGCAUCCGGCAGAUUUCUGAGGAUGCCUGCAUCGCUGCAGUGCUGCCAAUGCACUUGUCACUUUUUUCAUGAGUAGACCGCGUGAAGGUAUCAUGUAGCCGCUUUUUGAGUCUUCACUCGCUUUCGCCCUCUUGGACACCUCGGUUUCUUUGUUUCAGUUCAGUCUUGUCAGAUCUCGUGCUACUCUUGUCUGUUCAGGCGUGCGGCAACGGUGGCAGCGAGAGAAUAGUACUUAUCGUUUAUUCCAUUGUUAUCAGAAACUACGAAGUUUGUGAGAUCAAUGACGAUCGUUGAGGUGGUCGAAGCUAUGUUUUUCUGUCAAGAUUUGAGAACAUUUUUUACGUCGUUUUUAUCGAAGGUUAGAAAUUAUGCAUGAUAGUUGUUGGCUUCGUUUUUCCUGGACGACUUUCGGCCCUGCACAUCGAAAGCUUACUUGCUUCUGCAACGCAGUGAAUACGUUAAGAGAUCUGUCGAGAGAGCUUCGAAUUUCCAAAGUGCAUUGACAGAAUAGCAAAAUGACAGUACUUUGUCCUCAUUAUGAUUCUGUGAUUGGAUGGUAUGUAACAGUUGUUGGUCCUGAUGGCCCUAAGAAGAGGAUAAUUGUGUCCCCGUUGCACUACUAUAAGGAAAUGGGAGUUGUUCCACCUGUUGGUGCUAUUUUCACUGAUGCCGAUUAUAUAGGCUUGGAAGAUGAUUCAUUUGAUGAAGAGUCAGACAUUCUGGAUCCUUAUUCCAUCAAGUGAUCUUUACGCGUUACCAUCAGUAAUGAAAGUUGGUCCUAAGCCUUCUGUAGCAUCAAUCAUACCUGAAGCUGGAUUUUCCAAGAUUUCCACAGAUAUGACUGACGAUCUAUUUAUGCCAGAAGUAUCUGAUUGCCCUCCACAGUAUGUACCAAUUAUACCAGAAAUUGGAGUUUCAAAAUCGUCACUAAAAGCGACAAAUUGUCCUCCACAAUAUGCACCACUAUUACCAGAAGUUGGAGUUUCAAAGUCUUCACUGAAAGCGACACAAUUUCCUUUACAGUAUACACCAAUUAUACCAGCAGUAGGACUUCCAAAGUCCUUACUGAAUUUUGCAAAUGGCCCUUCACAACAUGCAGGACUUACACCAGAAUUUAUACUGACAAAUGUUUCUGAAACCGAUGAGCCAACAUCCAUGUACUCACCAGAAUUUUCAUCCUUCUUGUAUAAUCAUCAAACGACAACAAGUUCUAUUGAACCACAACCAUCAACUUCUAAUGCGGUACAUGAUAUAUAUUCUCCAAGUUAUUCAUCACUUGAUAAAAGUUUGAUGUCAUUGUCAUACGACAAUUACAAUGAAGAUGAUGACUAUAGCAUGAAAAGAGCUUAAGAUGAUUCAUAAGGUGAACCUCAUAAUAUGUAAAUAAUAACAGUUAGAGUUUAAAUAACUUAACUAAAGCUGUUUUUUGAAACUCGUCACAAAAAUUAUUAUCAAGACAUAUCAUGAUCAUGAACCUCGCAUGUUAACUGGUGUUCAAAACAUAGGAGCAGGACCUCGGCUAGAGGUUGCCGAGGUGUUUUGCUUCAAUGAGCAAGGAAAACAGGACUUUAAUUAAUCUGAAGUGUAAUUGAUGUUAAUUAUUUAAGUUGUUCUGCGAUAUUUGAAAGUAAUUUAAGAGUUUAAAUGCUAUCAUGAAGUUUUGAAUAAGGACUAUUUGAUUGUCAUAGAAAUUUUGUAGCAUUUAUUUUUCAAAGUUAUCGUCAGAUCACAAACAAACUGUCUUU